GUUACUUUGACAGAAUAGUGUAUUGAAUUUAGAAUUCAAAAAUGUAAAAAAUUACAGGUAAUA
rnacentral:tRNA from 3 species